AUUGAACGCUGGCGGCAUGCUUUACACAUGCAGGUCGAACGGUAACAGCACUUCGGUGGCUGACGAGUGGCGAACGGGUGAGUAAUACAUCGGAACGUGCCUAGUAGUGGGGGAUAACUACUCGAAAGAGUAGCUAAUACCGCAUGAGAUCUAAGGAUGAAAGCAGGGGACCUACGGGCCUUGCGCUACUAGAGCGGCUGAUGGCAGAUUAGGUAGUUGGUGGGAUAAAAGCUUACCAAGCCGACGAUCUGUAGCUGGUCUGAGAGGACGACCAGCCACACUGGGACUGAGACACGGCCCAGACUCCUACGGGAGGCAGCAGUGGGGAAUUUUGGACAAUGGGCGCAAGCCUGAUCCAGCAAUGCCGCGUGCAGGAUGAAGGCCUUCGGGUUGUAAACUGCUUUUGUACGGAACGAAAAGCCCUCUUCUAAUACAGGAGGGUCAUGACGGUACCGUAAGAAUAAGCACCGGCUAACUACGUG
rnacentral:rRNA from 1 species